UCGAUCGGUUCUUCCUCGGAACCUGAAGACCGCCUCUGCGCGUUCCGUGCAUCGCGAAAGUACUCCGAGCGACCAUCGCCUCGCUGCCUGGACCCCCGACAUAGAAUCGUCCAGGAAGGAAAAGAACAUUUUCUGAUGAAAAGCGGCGUCAACGGAGCGGAGCUGAUCGGGUACAAUGUUCCACGUGCUCCGCGGGCUGCCGCAGUUUCCUUGAGAUUUGAAUCGUCCACGCUCGCUUCUUUCAGACGUUAACCUCCUCGGCCCCAGGUGUCCAGAGAACGUCCAACAUUCCCUCGGGGCUACCAGAAUGCGGACCUAACCCAGACCUAACCCAGCUACCCAGGAGUCUGAAGACUUCUCGGAUACCGAGCGAUAAAACCGAGAUACGUCCUCUGGGCUACGCGAGGAGCUACAUUAAAUCAUAAACGCCGCGGGAUUCGAGCUGCGGGGCACCUCUUUCACGUGGAGAGGAAGAACAGUUGGCCGGACCAGUAAAUCGGGGUAUCGACCAUUCGUCUUUCCGCAGAAAUCUUCGAUAAUCCGAGGAUCCAGGUGAUCUCGUCGAUAAUCACGACACUGGUCCCGUCAGCUGAUUGGGAGGAUGACGCAGCGGUCGUUCCUUCCCCGAAUCGUCGCGCAAGAGGAAACGAUGAUCAUUCGGUGUGAACAGUGCGACGUCGAGAGUGGACAGUUAGCGAAGGACACCAAGGCGUUCAAGAAAAGAAUCUUCGCGGUGCUGACUAGAGGGAUUCGUAAUAGGCAUUGAACGAGCGCUCGUUUCGCAAGGACCCUUGAUCUCGCUGCGUGCUGUUGCCUGCGGUAACAGUCAGUGUACAGUGAAUGAAUCCUGGGGUCGCGCCAGACGAUUGCACGAUCCUUUCGAUCGCGAUUGAUCCUGAGAGCCUUGUCUCGCCGCUAGUCGUGAUUGUUCGUACUCUGCGACGCCGAGUGGAAAGUGACCGGACCCCCUCAGUGACAUAAUCGAGGAAAGUGUCGAGGCGUUGCUAAUUGUCGGCUGGUUGUUUCGUCGUGAUGGGGACGUCGAGAUCAGAACGUCGAGAUUUGCUCCAGUGAGAUCGAACGAGUGCCGGUAGAAAAAGUUCUGAAGGUCUGCAAGUGGUCUAGAAGUGAUCUGGAAGUGGUCUGGAGGUCUCAGGUGGUCUAGAGGUAUCCGUAGUGGGGCUGCGAAUCUCUAGCGAAAUCGUCCUUCACUUUGUCCAGGUCCAACGAUGCGCGAUAGUGUCGCGAGAAAGGUCUCCCAUCCGAUCUGGCUGAAGAACGCGUGAUAAGAGUGCUCAGAACAAUGUCGUCGCACGGUGAGUUCUCGACGAUAUCCAGCGAAGAGGUGCCCUCGCUGCCGAAAUCCCUCCCCAGUUCCAGGGAGGCGACGGCCGAGGGUAGUUCCAGCUCCAGCGGCGGCUACAUGCCCCUUCGCGAGUUCUUGGAUCGGUUCUCCUUGCCCAGGGUCGUUAGGCUCGAGGGCACCAGUGGCAGACCGGUGUUGCUCUACAAGCAGCAACAGAAAUCGCUUCGAGUUACCGCGACCUUGUGGAUACAUCGAUACAGACACGACGUCAAGGUGGGCCCGGAAAUAGUCAUCCCCGAGGGGUAUCCUGGAUGGUUUUCUGUGAUAUCUGGCACCAAUACAACGGGUGGCGCGCGCGUCUACAGAAGAGUGGAUUCCCUAGUGCGAGCAGGAGUCCCCGCGUUCCUAUUGGCAGCGCCACUGAGGGCGUACAUUUUGACGCACUCGAAAAUGGAAAAUGGCAAUCUACGAGCUCACUACACGAAGACUACGAUAAGGGCUGGGGAGAUUCUACGAUUGAUAGCCGUCUUCCAGGACACGAGGAAGUGCAGUACGGUAUCCUUUGGGAUUUCCGGUAGCUCAUCCGAAAAGGAUCAGUACGCGCAAUGCUUGGAUCCCCAUGGUCGCGAGGUGUUUGCGCCAUUGUCGGCGAGAGGCGAAUUUUACGCCAUUUGUCAGAACGGAAGCAUCGACACCGGAAGCGACGAAGUGCUGUACAAGGUUCAUCAUCUUGCGAAAAGACAGUUACCUCUAAGGGUUCGUUUAAUAGCUGGUCCGCUUCCUGUACCCUUGCCAAGAGAAUACGGCGGUUUGAUGCAACUGGAAAGUUCAACACGUGGACCAAUCGUUUUAGGGUGCAUCGUACCGGAAAGGCCAGUUCACAAUCCGGAAAUGCUGGAGCUCGUGGUGACCGGAAGUGGCGCCCCAAGAGUGAGAAGGGCGCGAUUAGGUUACCCAUCGGAAGUUAGGUUGCUGGCAUCGCCAAAAAUGCAACGAUUAUUAUCUGCCUGCAGCCGAGCCGUCGGGGAUCGUGCAACGGAACCGAGAGUGGCGCCUUUGAAGCUCCACCCAGUCGGGGAAAAUCUCAAGGAGAUGCAUUUGAAGAAGAUCAAACCGAAAACGGAAACGAAACCCAUCCUGCAAAGCUUGAAGGACGGAUUGGAGCAAUUGAAGAAGACCACUGUCAGGGAGAAGAGUCAGACCAGGCAAAACUCUCGGAACGGAUUUCUGGAACGGAUCUCAAAGUUCACUCAGGGUGGUCGUAGUAGGAAUCCGGCGAAGAAAUCGGCGUCGUUUACGUUCGCCGUGAAACCGGAAAUCGCGAUAAGGUGUCAGGAACGUUACUCCAGUCUUGAGCCAGAUACUACCUCUCAUCCGAGUCAUUCCAAUUCCUCCAAGCAACCUGUACAAAGAUCGGUCUCUACGAGCGUUUUGGAGAUGCCGACGAACAUCGAGCUGCAACCGAAUUAUUCUCGUGUCAGAGAUAGUCUAACGCCAGUGCCAUCCCUCCCUAAACUAACCAGGACCAAAGCUGACGACAUUUACGCGGAGAUUUGCGAGACCGCGGUUGCGCAGAAGUGUCCCGGAAGCCACGUGAUGGCCAGGAUCAAAAUCGUCGUGAAAGGGCGCGAUUCGCCCAUGGAACUUUCGGGAAAGAUCGGCAACGAUCGAUACGCGAACUCGAUAGUAACGAACGAGCGGAUCGAUUCGAUAAUCAGUACGGAAGAUGAGGUUAUCUAUAAUACGAUAUUUUAAGUAUGAAGAACUUUAUAAUUAUAAGCGGGGAUGGGAGAAAUCUACUUAAAAACUGCUGCUUCCCGGUCGAAUACGUAAAAAUAGAAGUUAGAUGUGAAUCAAAUGCAGAUUUGUUGGUUACAACGUCAUGAAAAAAUCGAUAAGAAUAAGAACCUUGGGUAUGUCGUCACUCCUCGCAACAGGUGCAUUCAUGAAUUUUUAAAGGAGAUGAAACAGGGGGUGUACUUAAAGAUGUUACUCAUUUAAUUACAAAGACAUCUUACAGCAAAUCGAAGCAAUUAUUGUAACGUUAUCGAAUAGAUCAUAACUUGAUAUGUAAUUGUUAUUGCCAAAGCGUGGUUGAAUAAACUUUGUUCUUUCCGUUGGGUUAUUUUACUUGUUUUUAUAUAUAUUUUUAUAGUAUAAUGGUUUGUACAGUAAAUGAAAUAACAAUAUGAAAACUAAUCUUUCUAUCAAUCUAAAACUUUCUUUUUACGCAUAUAUAUAAAUAUGUAUGUUAUUAAAGUGCUGCCUUCAUUUACUGGCCACUAAUUACAAUUGACGUCAUUAUCGAAAUUCGGAUUGCCUCAUUUCAACACUAACAUUCUAUACGGAGCAGUCGUUACAAAAGAGAAGAUCCAAUGGGUUCGCUGCUGAUUUAUGUCCAACUAACUUUCGCAUCAGGAAAUAUGAGCAAUGCUUCGUCAGUGCCCCAGGAAAGCUCUGUAUUCGCGUUACGAACAUAUUCCAAAGUAAACUGUCUGUAAAAAUUACAUGCUAUGUCCCCGUAGUCGACUUGAAAUAGGUUCUAAAAUUUUAUUUAAAAAAAAAAAGGUCACCUCUUUAUCCUGUAAAUUAGUAAUUAUCAAAAUUAACCUCUUCAGGGACGAUUUUAUCGGAAAUAACAUUAUCAGUGCAACCAAAUGGUAAAAUUUCUGAUUCUGUAGCGAAUAAGUUAUUACCAAAUUUUUUUUAUGCCAGUAAUUAUAAUUAUAAAAAACUAGGCGUCCACAUGUGGCCAAGGGCGUGAAAAGGUUAAUUUUGAUUUCAAACUCAAAUUUAGAGGGUAAAUUAAUCCAGUGAUUAUAAUUAAUCUACUUUUCCCCACGAAAUUAAUUCAUUAACAAAAGAAAAUAUAUUGCGUUUAUUUUGCACGUCUUUUUUCGCCCUGAGGAAUGAACUCUCUAUUCUAAAUAGCGAUUGAUCCGACACGCUGUACGUACGUAUGUACAUGCAGUGUUUCGUUUGGAAUAGCGUACAAUGGAAACAAUGAGAAUCAUUUUCCGUGAAUAUAUGUUUGGAGUUUCGAUUUAACGAAGGAGGCGCUUAACGAGUAAGUUUCCCUCCACGAAACUUCCGAUUGUCUUCGACGAUGAAUUUUCCACGUAGUUCG